GCCGCUUAGCAACCUAAGGCCGAGCCCAGCACCAACCUUUUUGUCUCAGGACUUAGUAAGCGCACGACUACUGAGGGACUCAAGGAAGCCUUUUCUAAGUUUGGUGAAGUGGUUCAAGCUAGGGUAAUGACCGAUCGAGUGUCUGGAUAUUCCAAGGGGUUUGGUUUUGUAAGAAAUGCUACCUUGGAAAAUGCUGCAAAAGGCAUAGAGG